AUCCGGGCUUCCGCGUAGUCCGGGCGCCCUGGCCUCUGCACCGUCCUAGAAACCUGUCUUACGUCGAGGAACCCGGGGGACAGAGGCGCGCCAGUGCACGCCGGGGCCAGGGACGAACGGCUCGCCAAUGCAAAGGAGGCCCCUCGGGGAGACGGCAGGCAGCAAAAGGCUUCCUUGGCCGGGGGUCUGGGCGUUUGGGGAGGGGAGGUGCUCAGAGAUAGGGCCGAGGAUGGAGCUCCCAGGGAGGCAGGAGAGGAUUGAGGAGGCAAAUCCCCGAGCCCAGAAGACUCCAGUCAGAAAACAAGAUGGUCCCCAUGGGUAGUGGCCAAUCCCUCUGGCCUUUCAGAGCAGUGGCUUUGGCCUUGUCCGCUUAGGUAACAGGCUCUGCUGCUGGUAGUUGCUUAAGAGCACAGAGUAGCCGGGCGUGGUGGCUCACGCCUGUAAUCCCAGCACUUUGGGAGGCCGAGGUGGGUGGAUCACAAGGUCAGGAGAUCGAGACCAUCCUGGCUAACAUGGUGCAAUCCCGUCUCUACUAAAAAUACAAAAAAUUAGCCGAGCGUGGUGGUGGGUGCCUGUAGUCCCAGCUACUUGGGAGGCUGAGGCAGGAGAAUGGUGUGAACCCAGGAGGCGGAGCUUGCCGAGAGCCAAGAUCGCACCACUGCACUCCAGCCUGGGUGACACAGCGAGACUCCAUCUCAAAAAAAAAACAAAAAAAAAAAAACACAGAGUGAACCAGUGAGAAGGUUAAAUGGAGGAGAAAGCAAAGUUCUUAAGACAAAAAAAGUACCCCAACAAGGGCAGGAAACAAGCUAAAUGACAUAGGCACAGACAACUGGACAAACCCAGAACGUGGGGCCUUGAGACUGUCAAGUAGCCUGGUCUCAAGCCAUUAUCAGGCCCAGGCGUGGUGGCUCAUGCCCAUUAAUUCUAACACUUUGGGAGGCCAAGGUGAGAGGAUCACUUGAGGCCAGAAAUUCAGGAACAGCCUAGACAACAUACCCAUCUUUACAAAAAAUAAAAAUAGAUUUAUUGGAAGGCCAUGUUGAAAAAAAAAAAAGAAAAAAAUUAGCCGGAAGUGGUAGUGCAGCCCUGUGGUCCCAGCUACUCGGGAGACUGAGUUGGGAGGACUGUUUGAGUCCAUGAGUUGGAGGCUGCAGUGAGCUCUGAUUGUCCAAAGCACUCCAACCAGGGCAACUGAGACCCUGUCUCUUAAAAAAAAAAAAAAAUAGGCAAAGAAAUCUAAUAUUGAAAUGCAAUUAAUGAAUUUUAAUUGGAGUCUAGGUGGUGCGGGAGGGGGAUUGGAAAAAGCUAUCAAAUGCAUUCUGAGGACAAUUUGGAGAAAUUUGCAUAUGGGCUGAUAUUAGGGAAUUAUUAAUUGGGUGAUAACAGUAUGGCGGUUAUAUUAGAGAAUGUCCUUUUUUUUUUUUUUUUUUGAGACAGGGUCUCACGGUUGCCCAGGUUGGAGUGCAGUGGCGUG
rnacentral:lncRNA from 10 species